rnacentral:rRNA from 1 species
CAGUCGCCACGGUAAUACGUAGGGUGCAAGCGUUAAUCGGAAUUACUGGGCGUAAAGCGUGCGCAGGCGGUGUUGUAAGGCUGAUGUGAAAUCCCCGGGCUCAACCUGGGAACUGCAUUGGUGACUGCAACGCUGGAGUGCGGCAGAGGGGGAUGGAAUUCCGCGUGUAGCAGUGAAAUGCGUAGAUAUGCGGAGGAACACCGAUGGCGAAGGCAAUCCCCUGGGCCUGCACUGACGCUCAUGCACGAAAGCGUGGGGAGCAAACAGGAUUAGAUACCCCAGUAGUCCCUGUCUCUUAUAC